rnacentral:lncRNA from 1 species
CACUGAAACAAGCAAGAGCAAGGGUUAGAAAACAAAAUCAAAUUAUUGGCAGGCUCCUGAAAAUUUUUAAAACUAUUGGAGGAAUUAUAUAAACUUGAGAAGGCCGUUAGAAGCAAGUCUUUCUGUAGUACACUGUUGCUAACCUGAUACAUCAACAAGGCAAGUGAUACAAUUAAAAUUCCAUAUUCUAAGGAGAUAGAAUCUGACUGGCCUCACUUGGAUCAGGUGUCCUCCCUCAAUCUGUCAGAUUUGGCAAUUCUAGUGACAUAGUGACCUGUCACAAGCACUGGUGGCCUGGAUCUGCAGAGGCCCCAGUGUCCACAACAAGCUUAAAGAUUUCAAAGGAAUUGGUGCUCUAUCAGAAAAGGUUGCACAAACAGAAGACUUGCAACAAAUCUACUUGGAAAGAACUGAGAUCUUAACAACAGUGAAGAUGAACUUCUAUCUGAUGAACAAGGUCUGUCAGUCUUCAGCUGAAGACUCAAAGAAGACUGUCUACAGACUUUCCUAAAACAAUAAUGUGUCUGCGUCAUGUCCAGAGCAUGCUGUUGACUUAAUAAACUGGAGGGGGAUUUUCACAAAACCAUAACGAAAGAUGGAAUGAAGAGAAGGACUGCUGCAGGAAUAAAGAUUUACCAUUUCCUCAAAGUGAAAGUUAAACUGAAAUUAAAGC